UCUUUACUUUCACCCUUCCCAAUUAAUGAUGAUGAUUAUACUACCAUUUAGUUAUGCACCAUGCUACUCCAAAUAUCUUUACCGACUAUUCCAUGCUCUCUCAGUCCUACAUUGCUUUUCUGUUUUGGCAAAUCAGUGUCAACUUAAAUAUUCUUGAGUUCUAGAUUUUUCAUUUCUAUUAUAUCAUAGUCUCUUGUGUCAAGUCAGUUUUAUUUGUAUUGAACCAUUACUUUUAUCUAGUGCAAGAAUCAUAUUUGUGUUGUAAGAUGUUUGUGUUGUCCAUCAUGGACUGCUGCUUUAUUAUUUGUAGUAAAAUGGAUGAUAUUUUCUGCUUGAUUUUUGUUGCUCCUCAAAGUAAUUUUUUUUUUUUUUUUGUUAGUCCAGUGUGGACCCAGAUAUCUUUUACUGUUCAAACUUUGGUAGCCUUGGAUCAAUUGGUGGUAAGCCUUAUGGUAAUUAUUUGAAGAUGCUUUGGGCUGCUUAUUUCAAACUUCCACAGCCCCAAGACGCUGAACGACCCAGAAGCUAAACACCAGUAAACUUUAUAGUUCUCCUUUUUCUUUUUCUUUUUCUUUUUCUUUUUCUUCUUGUUUGUUCUUCCCAACUCCCUCCUGAUUGUGGCUUUUUGUGAAGGCGUUCAGCUCCGUGGGUUGCUUGUGAAUAAGGGUUUGGAGGAAGAUGUGUUUAUUGGGGAUUCUUUGAUUCAGUUCUAUGCAGAAUGUGGGGACUUGGAUUAUGCCUGGAAGGUGUUUGAUGAAAUGCUUGAGAGGAAUACUGUGUUGGGGACUAGUUCUGAUUUGCGGUUAUGGUUGGAGGGAUAUGACAAAGGAAGCUUUUUUCUUGUUUUUCGAGAUGGUGGCUGCCGGGAUUAAACCAAUUCGGUGACUAUGGUGUGUGUCAUUUCUGCAUACGCCAAGUUGAAGCAUGUAGCGUUGAGUGAGAGGCUUGUGCUUCCAUUGGGGGGUCUGGAUUGAAGAGUAAUAUGCUUAUGUUGAAUUCACUUGUUGAUAUGCAUAUGAAAAGUGGAGCUACUGAUGCUGCAAAGCGGUUUUUGAUGAAUGUGUGGAUAAAAACUCGGUUCUUUACAAUACAAUUUUGUCAAAUUCUGUGCGCCAGGGACUUGAUAAUGAAGCAGUUUUGGUCAUGGGUGAAAUGCUACAACAGGGCUUAAGACCCGACAAUGUUAUGUGCCAUAUCAGCUUUUGCCAACUAAGUGAUUCUCUCUCUGGAAAGUGUUCCCAUGGUUAUGUUCUAAGGAAUGGACCAGAAGGUUGGGAUACGAUUUGCAAUGCCAUGAUUGACAUGUACAAGAAGUGCAGCCAACCAGAAAUGGCCUGCAUAAUUUUUGACAAUAUGUCGAAUAAGAUUGUACUAUCACGGAACUCCUUGAUUUCUGGUUUCAUAAGAAGUGGUGAUGUGAAGUCAGUUUGGAAAAUGUUCAAUGAGAUGCGAAAAAGUGAUCUUGUUUCUUGGAACUCUAUGAUUGGUGCUCUGGUCCAAGAGAGCAGGUUUUAGGAAGCAAUUGAACUUUUCCGGGUGAUGCAGACUGAGGCAAUAAAAGGAGAUACGGUGACCAUGGUGGAGGUUGCAUCUGCCUGCGGAUAUCUAGGAGCUAUUGAUCUUGCAAAGUAGACUCAUGCUUAUAUCGAAAAAGAUAAACUUAACUGUGACAUGCGGCUCGGGACAGCUUUAGUUGACAUGUUUGCUAGAUGUGGUGACCCUCAAAGUGCAAUAAAGGUGUUUGAUAACAUGGCAAGAAGAGAUGUUUCUGCUUGGACAGCAGCCAUUGGAGCACUGGCCAUGCAAGGAAACGGGGAGCGAGCUCUAGAGCUUUUCGAUAACAUGCAUAAGCAAGGGGUGAAACCAGAUGUAGUCUUUGUGGCAGUACUAACAGCAUACAGCCAUGUUGGUCUUUUGGAACAAGGACGGAACAUUUUCAUGUCAAUGCAAUCAGUCCAUGGCAUUUCCCCUCAAUAUUGUUCAUUACAGUUGCAUGGUUGAUCUACUUGGCCGAGCAGGGGGCUUGGAAGAAGCUGUUGAUCUGGUAAAGAGCAUGCCAAUGGAACCUAAUGAUGUCAUUUGGGGCACUCUCUUGGCUGCUUGUCAAACCCACAAAAAGGUCGAAAUGGCAGCAUAUGCAGCUGAAUAGGUAUCUAAAUUGACUACUCAGAGGACUGGUAUUCAUGUGCUUCUCUCAAACAUAUAUGCAUCAGCUGGGAAAUGGGCAGAUGUUGCAAAAGUGAGGCUACAACUGAAAGAGGAAGGGAUUCAGAAGGUACCUGGAUGCAGUUCCGUUGAAGUUAAUGGAGUGAUUCAUGAGUUUACCUCCGGUGGUGAUGCUGAUACACACACAGAGAGGAGCCACAUUGCGUUGAUGCAAGAAAUAAACAGCAGACUCAGAGAUGCUUGCCACGUUCCUGAUCUGGACAAUGUCAUGCUUAAUGUUGAUGAGAAGGAGAGAGUACUUGCUCAGUCGAUAUAGUGAGAAAGUGGCCAAAGCUUUUGGACUUAAAGGUACAAGGUAAGAAGUGCCAAUUCGUGUGGUGAAGAAUCUGAGAAUGUGUUUUGAUUGUCACUCUUUUGCCAAGUUAGUGUCAAGAAUAUACCACAGGGAAGUUAUUGUUCAAGAUAACAGCAGGUACCAUUUCUUUAUGUAUGUUCUUGCAGUGAUUACUGGUAAUAGAAUUAUGAUUUGAAGAGAACUCUCCACCAAUUAUUAUUCUUCUUCAGUCUGCAGUCCAUUAUUGAUUGCUAUUGAUCUGCACUGCCAUUAUCAUUUUGUGUUAAUUACACAAUCCAAGUAUGCCUCCAUUAUCAUUAAGCCAUACUUCCAGGGAAAUAUGCAGAACCCAAUCUCUUCCACUGUCAUUGUUUAAACUCAUUUACUACUCUGCUGAAUAAACAAGCAUUGUAUAUGACACCAAUCAAGCCCUUGAGCCUGAAGCUGGAAUAACAGUGGUUCACCUAGUAUGCCAACUAAAUGGCUAUUUACCAACAGUACCCCAUCCACUUAAGAGUUCCGACAAGAAUGCCAUUCAUUCAGAUGUAUUCUUUAGUCACAUCUGCUUGGACAGCAGCCAUUGGAGCAAUGGCCAUGCAAGGAAAUGGGGAGCGAGCUCUAGAGCUUUUCGAUAACAUGCAUAAGCAAGGGGUGAAACCAGAUGUAGUCUUUGUGGCAGUACUAACAGCAUACAGCCAUGUUGGUCUUUUGGAACAAGGACGGAACAUUUUCAUGUCAAUGCAAUCAGUCCAUGGCAUUUCCCCUCAAUAUUGUUCAUUACAGUUGCAUGGUUGAUCUACUUGGCCGAGCAGGGGGCUUGGAAGAAGCUGUUGAUCUGGUAAAGAGCAUGCCAAUGUAACCUAAUGAUGUCAUUUGGGGCACUCUCUUGGCUGCUUGUCGAACCCACAAAAACGUUGAAAUGGCAGCGUAUGCAGCUGAACAGGUAUCUAAAUUGACUACUCAGAGGACUGGUAUUCAUGUGCUUCUCUCAAACGUAUAUGCAUCAGCUGGGAAAUGGGCAGAUGUUGCAAAAGUGAGGCUACAGCUGAAAGAGGAUGGGAUUCAGAAGGUACCUGGAUGCAGUUCCGUUGAAGUUAAUGGACUGAUUCAUGAGUCUACCUUCGGUGGUGAUAGUGAUACACACACACAGAAGAGCCACAUUGCAUUGAUGGUGCAAGAAAUAAACAGCAGACUCAGAGAUGCUGGCCACAUUCCUGAUUUGGACAAUGUCCUGAUUGAUGUUGAUGAGGAGGAGAAAGAGUACUUGCUCAGUUGACACAGUGAGAAAGUGGCCAAAGCUUUUGGGCUUAUAGGUACAGGGCAAGGAGUGCCAAUUCGUGUGGUGAAUAUCUGACAGGGAAGUUUGCCAAAUUAGUGUCAAGAAUAUCUGACAGGGAAGUUACUGUUCAAGAUAACAGCAGCUUCCAUUUCUUUAGUCAGGGGCUUUGCUCUUGCAGUGAUUACUGGUAAUAGAAUUAUGAUUGAAGAGAACUCUCCCCCAAUUAUUAUUCUUCUUUAGUCUGCACUCCCAUUAUUGAUUGCUUUUGAUCUGCACUGCCAUUAUCAUAGUGUUAAUUACACAAUCCAAGUAUGCCUCCAUUAUCAUUGAGCCAUGCUUCAAGGGAAUAUGCAGAACCCAAUCUCUUCCAUUGCCAUUGUUCAAACUCAUUGACUACUUGGCUGAAUAAACAAGCGUUGACCAAUCAAGCCCUUGAGCCUGAAGCUGGAAUGAAGGUGGUUCACCUAGUAUGCCAAGAAAAUCGAUAUCACCAACCGUACCCCGUCAACUUAAGAGUUUCAACAAGAAUGCCAUGCAUUCAGAUGUAUUCUUUCAGAGACACAGAAGGUUGAAGCUGUGACUUGAAAAUAAUCUUUUGACUUCAUGCAGGGCCAACUGCAUUUCUUUUCCAGUAAAGUGAUUAACGGGGUUGGUUGCUGAAUAGUUUUCAGCCGCAGUGAUCAAGUGCCAUGUGCUGUGGAUUCCAUCUUAAUAGGCUGUUGCAGGACGGCUACAAAUAGCAUCAGAGUUAACUGAGUUCGAAAACGGAUCGCACAACACCCGGUUUAGGCUUCUAUUAUCCGGUGGUGAGGUUCCGAAGUGGUUCCAUUGUUCGAAGGAGGUUGCUGUUAAUGAAAACGGCCCAUCCAGUACAUGUGCAAUUUCUUUUGAAAUCCCAAGCAAAUUGAAUUGGGCCAACAUAGGACUGGCUGUUUGUUAUGUUCUAGUUGAGGAACCUCUUAGUUUUAUGAUUCACGUAGGAGCUGAUAUUUCCAUCAAUGGGGUACUCAUAGAUCGGCAUUCCAAGUUGCCCGGUUCAAUGCCAGACCAUAUGUGGCUAAGUUAUAUUCCAUUAUGUGAUGAAAUAAAGGGAAAGGUGGAUCAAAACGGUGGGUCGCGUUAUCACUGUCGAGUUCAAUUUUACCCUGCUUCUCAAAUGAAGAGCUGUGGAGUUCACCUGGUAUGCCAACCACCGAUGACUAGCCUUCUAAUUGAAGAUGAUGAUGAAGAAGAGCCAACUCCGUUGUCACAGCUGUCUUCCAAACCUCCGAAACGGCACCACACCCCGGAAGAUGCAUCAACAGUGGUUCCUCCAAAACGACAACGCGCUGCCGGGCAACCAUCGCACAACCAUUCCCAUGGAUGAGUGGGGCAUGCUAGACUGGCUUUCUUCGACGAAUACAGAACAAAAGAGCCUCGUACUGGAGCCAAUGACAACAAGAGCAGCAGGAGCAACCAACUCUUUCAAAACGACACUGCCCUGAGGAACUACCAACAAUGCCUCCCAUCCCCGAUUACUCUGCAUCUGCAUCCACCUCUGAUCAAAUCUUCCAGACUUCUCAUUGGCAACAAAUCUUGAUCCUACCUCACCAGCCAGUACUCCAUAGUUCCAACAAUAAUAUAUGCCAUGUUCUUUCACAGACUACUCCAUAGUUCCAACAAUAAUAUAUGCCAUGUUCUUUCACAGACUAGCAGCUAUAUUCAGGAGAAUAUUGGUGGUAAUCAGCUAGCUAGGCCACGCAAAUAAGCUAGAAGCAGAGCGAUCAUAAGUGGUGGUUGAUAAGGGUUUUCAGUCAUAAGCAAGUGGCAUGAGUCUCUUUAAAGGCUGCUGCAGGAUCAGGCUCUCUCCAACAAGAAUUUCUUUUCAUCAAAACUGAUGAAUGAGAGAGCAUUCGUGGUAGUCAGCUAGGCUCUGCAAAUCAAGUGGAAACUAUAAACUUUCACUUGGAAUGGUUGCAGAUUCGGGCAAAAUUGGGUACAUGCUGAUCUGUCUGAAUUUGAGACCAGUGAAAAUAAACUAAAAGUAAAGGCAACAAGCAAACCUGCAUAGUUCCCAUCACUCAACUACUCCACAGCUUCAACACCAUGAGGAAGCAACUGAGUUUUCUGUCUUCGGAACCAACAAAACCUCGUGGCGCAAUUGAAGGUGCUCAAGACCCAUAGCUGUCUUUGUCUCUGCAAGCAACACUACCAUCCACUUCAGGUGACCAAUCUCUGUUUGAGGUGCAUCCUGUACAUUAAAUCUGGCCUGUUUUGAGUUGCAUCAUGGCAAGUUUCACAAUUUCGGCCUAGCAGCUGUUACUUCAGAAUUGACCAAAUGGCCCUGUCACUUUACACUAUAAGCACUACAUUGAUGGAAUUAAUGAAGGCAUGGUGCUUUGGAUCUCGUAGGCGCUUAAGAUUGGCUACAUGAUGAUGGGGAAUAAUGGUCUCAAAGCUGUUUUGCAGUCCUCCACAUUGUUGAUCCUCAAGUGAUUCCAUAGUUGUAGGAGAACAUUGGUGGUAUCAGCUAGCUGUAAAUGCAGAUUAAGUGGGGACUAUAGACAUUCCACUCUGAAAGGUUACAUAUUCUGGCCAAGUGGGGUACAUGCUGAUCCAGCUAAAUUUGAAAUGACUGCAAAUAAGCUUGAAGCAAAGGCAUAUGCUAUGUCCCCUUAGUUAAGUUCUAGCCUGGCUUUGGCUAAGAAUCUUGCUUCAAGGUGAUGCAGCGGUGUGUGCUGACCUUCUUGAGGAAAAUGGAAUUGGUUUUCAUUGUUUCUAAGGAUGGAAUUGAUACUUCUGACUGCCUGUAUUCUAUUGCCACGAUCAUAUGCGGUGGUUGAUGAGGGUUUUUAGAGUCAUAAGCAAGUGGCACGAGUCUCAUUAGAGGCUGCUGCAGGAUUAGGCUCUCUCCAACAACCAAAUUCCCUGAAGAAAUCCCAGCCCAUGUCAGCUUCAAUUGAAUCCCAACUGUUGUUUCACCACCCUGUGAAAUGCUUUGUGGUAGUCUGCAUUCGGAUCAGGAAGGGGCAGAUCUAUCUUGAUCGUUACUGCAUUAGAAUUUGAUACCUCAUUACUCCAUCAUCAUAUAAUAUCAUGUAUAAUUUUGCUUCUGCUCUAUCUCGAGGUGCAUUAGCAGAAGCAAAUUUCACUCAGAUGUGUUCUUUUAGAGUGGUUUGAAGCAACAAUUUGAAACGCUGCUGCAGAUUCAACUUCAAGUAUCAAAGGGUGAUUACAGACAUUGCUGUACUAUCUGGGAAUCUAUGAUGAGGCUGCUUCUUAGACGCCAAUGUAUAGAAUCAACAGCCAUGGUGCUGCAGAGAUUGGCCACAUCAUGAUGAGGAAUAAUGGUAUAUUCAUCUUCAUAGUCCAUACAAAUUGGUUGAUAUGAUUCAGUAUUAAUAUUUGGUUUCACUUUGUUACUUGCAUUUUGAUUAAUGUUAUCCAGUAAUAAAGUUUCUGGGUGUAGUAUUCAAUUUGUUAAUUCGUAUCUGUUAUUUUUUAAUGUGCAUGACUGUGGAAGAACGAACAAUUAAGAAGCAAUUCCAAAUCCAAGCCUUGCUUAGU